CUCAGCUCAGAAAACCCGGUGUUUGACGGAGGUGACAGUGAGAACGUGAGAAAUGGAGGUCAGCUUCAGAAAGAGGCUCCCUCCGGCCCCUCCAUGCGCCCUCACCCCCAUCCCAAACCUUGAGCUGGCGCUUCCUACGGGAUGGGGCCACCACAGCCAGACUGGAAAGAAUGUGGACAUCCCAGAAAGACCGGGGAAGGGCGACCCCCCGGAAAUACAGAACCCUGCUAAGUUCAAGGUCAGAAAGAAGACCUAUGAGGUGCAGAGCCAAGCAAUCUCUACUCUGGCAGUCACUGCCGAUGGGGCAGAGCCCACCACGCCAGGCCUCUUUGCAGACCCCAGUGCCUCCCAAAGCGGCUUGGCAUUUGUCUUCAUAGUCCGGGUAGGCACCCCAUUUUACAGCAGAGGACGCAGGCCCAGAGAAGGAACUCCAAAGGUCGCCCAGCAGGCUAUCUUUCCCGCUUCUUCCUUCGUGGGAGCGAGGAGAGAAUGAGAGACUCACCCAGCACUAGACCUGAAGUCUACUGCCGUCUUGGAGCCUGUCUACUGGAGGCCAAGUACGUGUCUUCUUCCCAUCCUCCUCCCCACCUCAGCACCCCCAAGCUGUGCAAUAAAGACUAAGUUGUCCAGGGCCGCCCCCAUCCACAGAGUGCCAGCAGCCCGGGGCGGGAAUCCGCGGAGUCCUGGACAGGGCGAUCAACCAGGAAUGACCUUGGAAGAGGACUAAAGUCCAGAUGUGAUGGCCAACACCUUGAUUUUAGCCUGAGCAGAGAACCUAGCCAUGCCUUGCUGGAUAUCUGACCUACAGAAGCCCAUGGUAGUUCAUAACUGAAAUUUACUUCAAACUCUUACCACUGAGAAAAAUAAUUGAAGCAACGUUGGACUGUGCUGACUGCCACACCUUUCUUCAGCUGACAAAUGUAGGAGAUGAGAACUUUAGCUACGGAUAGACUUGGACUCAAGUCUUGGCUCUAGUCCCAAACACCUGGAAAUGGAGCAUUUUUCAGGGGCCACCUCACUGGGAGUUUGCUUUAAACCUUUGGAUUUCUGCAACUUGGACAAUUUUGUGUGUAUGCUGUGUGAUGCUCUCUGGGAUGGACUGGUACCCUCUGCGCAUCCCCUUUGACCUCAUGGACUUCGUCUGAAGGUCCCCUGUGCACACACCAGCUCGAGCAGUAUCUAUGAUGAUCUGGAACUGAACUAAAGUGCUUUGUGACCACAGGACUCCCACCCCAAGCCCUUUGCCUUCCCAGCACUGCCUUCUCCUGGGUCAGUGGCCAAGAGUUGCUCUAUUUCCAUCAGGUUCUCCCAGGGGCUGGCGGGAAAGAAGUCAUUUUCCUCAGCAUUUUGGAAACAUCCCCUGCAUCUCUAGUUACCUUUAGGUAGCUACUGAGAGAACGGUGGCUCCACAGACAUCUGUCCAGGUUGGCUGCACAUCUGCAGAGAAUUGCAUUAAGAAAAUUAAGCCAAUUGAAUUACAGGAUGAUAAUUAGCUGUGUGUCCCUUGGGCACGGUGGAGGGGGCAUCGGUUCAAGCUGGCCCAUUCACCAGCAACGUCGUGGGGAGGAGCUGUUGCAACGACACUACGUGGGUUAUAAGGAACAGGGCUGGUGGUCCAGCUUCCUUUCCCACCCAGCCUGGCUUUCCUGUUCACUGGCACUGUCUCUACCUCAGAGGUGCUCCUGAGGGGUGGACAGCCCGGCCAGGGAGGCGAAUGAGCUGCUCUCAACUCGCGGUCAGGCUACUGAGCAUCCCUGGGCCAGUGGGCACGUCCCUUAAACUUUCCCAAGCCUCAGUCUCUCCAUCUGUAAAACAUGCCACAUCUCAGAGGGGUUUGGGAAGGAUAAAAAAACAAAGACGUUGUAACAGCACUUGUAAUGUUCUUUACAAGAUGAUGGGGAUAUUACACGUGGAAUCUUUAAAAAAAUGACACAAGUGAACUAUUUACAAAACAGAAACAGACUCACAGACAUAGAAAACAAAUUUAUGGUUAAAAGAGGGCACAGGAGGUGGAGGGAUAAAUUGGGUGUUUGAGAUCAGCAGAUACAAACUACUGUAUAUAAAAUCGAUAAACAACGAGGUUCUACUCUAUAGCACAGGGAACUACAUUCAGUAUCUUAUAAUAACUUAUAUUGAAAAAGAAUAUGGAAAGGAAUAUAUAUGUAUAUAUGUAUAAUUGAAUCCCUAUGCUGUACACCAGAAACU